GAUGAAGAACGUAGCGAAAUGCGAUAAGUAGUGUGAAUUGCAGAAUUCAGUGAAUCAUCGAAUCUUUGAACGCACAUUGCGCCCCUUGGUACUCCAUGGGGCAUGCCUGUUCGAGCGUCAUUUCAACCCUCAAGCUCUGCUUGGUCUUGGGCCGCGCCGGCGACGGCGGGCCUCAAAAACAGUGGCGGCGCCAUCUGGUUCCUCAGCGUAGUAAUUCUUCUCGCUGUUGGGCCCGGGUGGCCGCUGGCCAGCAACCCCAAAUUUUCUAUGGUUGACCUCGGAUCAGGUAGGGAUACCCGCUGAACUUAAGCAUAUCAAUAAGCGGAGGA
rnacentral:misc_RNA from 1 species